GACGAACGCUGGCGGCGUGCUUAACACAUGCAAGUCGAACGGAAAGGCCCUGCUUUUGUGGGGUGCUCGAGUGGCGAACGGGUGAGUAACACGUGAGUAACCUGCCCUUGACUUUGGGAUAACUUCAGGAAACUGGGGCUAAUACCGGAUAGGAGCUCCUGCUGCAUGGUGGGGGUUGGAAAGUUUCGGCGGUUGGGGAUGUACUCGCGGCUUAUCAGCUUGUUGGUGGGGUAGUGGCUUACCAAGGCUUUGACGGGUAGCCGGCCUGAGAGGGUGACCGGCCACAUUGGGACUGAGAUACGGACCAGACUCCUACGGGAGGCAGCAGUGGGGAAUAUUGCACAAUGGGCGGAAGCCUGAUGCAGCAACGCCGCGUGCGGGAUGACGGCCUUCGGGUUGUAAACCGAUUUCGCCUGUGACGAAGCGUGAGUGACGGUAAUGGGUAAAGAAGCACCGGCUAACUACGUG
rnacentral:rRNA from 1 species